rnacentral:lncRNA from 1 species
AUCCUUGCCAUCCGCUGUCAUGCCUCUCCACCGCCACGCUUCCCCAUCAUUAUGGAGAUGGACUUGUCCUGGAACCAUAAGCCAAAUAAAGCCUUCCUUCUCCAAGUCUGCUUGAACCAAUAUUGCAACUGAAAUUUGUCGAAGGCCGAGGCAUUUGCUGAAACAGGAAAUGGAGAACAUUACAGCAGAGUGGAGCCCUUUUGUUUUCAGGUCGGAGCUGUUGUGUUUGUAAAGAAAAGGAAGCAGAGAACAGGCUGGCACUGGUAUCAUUAUUUCCCCCUUCCUGAAUAUUUCCUACCAAGCAACUGCUUUGGAAAUAACAAAAUGAUUUCACUAUGGAAAAAAUGCCGAGAAAAGAAUCCGGGGCUGUCUGAUUGGCUAAUAAUGAACAUAAAGGACGUCGUGCUUGUUGAAUGGCAGAUUGAAAUCCGGCUAGUUGGUGAGAACGUCUGUCUAGUUGGUGAGAACGUCUGUCCAUUUUUACUGAACCUGCUGACUUCCCAGAGUUCCAUUGGUGGCUUUCUGGAUUGCCUUAGGUCUUGCUUCAGGACAACGGAAUGGGAGCAAUAAAACAAAAAGAAGUUAUAUUUACAAUCUCAGACUGAUAAAAAUUUAUAGCUAAGAAGACCCACAGAGAUUAACUGGGCCUGCUUACCCUAUUCCACCGUUUGCAUUGAGGAGAGACAGAAAUCAGAGGUCAAUGGACUUUCCCAGGAUGCAAUAGUUCGGCUGCAGACCCCUUCAGCUCCUUGGGUGCUUUCUCUAGCUCCUCCAUUGGGGGCCCUGUGUUCCAUCUUAUAGCUGACUGUGAGCAUCCACUUCUGUAUUUGCCAGGCACUGGCAUAGCCUCAUAUGAGACAGCUAUAACAGGGUUCCUUCAGCAAAAUCUUUCUGGCAUUGUGCAAUAGUGUCCGGGUUUGGCGGCUGAUUAUGGGAUGGUGCCUGCAUCGGUACUGAGAAUUUAAGAGACUGUAUGUAUCAAGGCUGCAAGGCACCCUAAGCUGGCUGCCACCGAAUCAGACUCUAAAGGUCAGAAGGGGUCCUGAAGCCAUCAUGAUCUGAAGUUUAACUCUCUAUCUCUGAUGUCCUGACAAGCAAUCGCAUUAUUGGAACAUUCCUGUCUCUGUCUUUGGAUGGAGCUGACUCUGGAGAUUUGACAAAAGUUCAUCAUCCUGGAUCCUUCAUUGCAGAGUCUGAGUCCAGCUUUCUGGAGAUGCUCAGAACAACUGGAUUCCUGGCGUCUAUCAGUCCCAAUAUGUUCCCCGUGUGUGAUGGUUUGAAUAAGAGUGGCCCUCAUAGGCUCCUGAAUUUGCAUGCUUGGUCAUCAUGGAGUGGCAUUAUAUGAGAGGGAUUAGGAGGUAUGGCCUUGUUGGCAUAGGUACAGCCUUAUUGGAGAAUGGGUGUGACUGGGAGCAGGAUUUGAGAUUUCAAAAGCCCUAGCCAGGCCCAGUAUCUCUCUCUUUUUGUUGCCUGUGGAUCUGGAUGUAGAACUGGUGGCUACUUCUCCAGCACCAUGUCUGCCUGCAUGCCGCCAUGCUUCCUGCCAAGUCGCUAAUGGACUGAACCUCUGAAACUAUAAUAUUUUCCUUUACAAGAGUUGCCAUGAUCAUGGUGUCUUUUCACAGCAAUAGAACACGGACUAAAACACCA